rnacentral:lncRNA from 13 species
AUUUCAGGCUUCAAACAUAAAGAUAUAAAACUAUUUUUUUGUGAAGAAUCAACAACAAGUGGGACACAAUCAUGAAGUGGAACGACAUUUAUUGGAUAUUUCAAACUUUUAUAACAAAUCAAAAACUGAAAAAUUGGGCGUGCAAUAUUAUUCUAUUCUAUUCUACUGACACACUGCACAGUGGUCGGGGAUGGACACAGUAGACUACUGACACACUGCACAGUGGUCGGGGAUGGACACAGUAGGCAACUGACACACUCCUUCAUGAUGAUGUUAACUCUCUCUGUUAGCUCCACUUCCCUCCAUGAUGAUGUUAACUCUCUCUGUUAGCUCCACUUCCCUCCAUGAUGAUGUUAACUCUCUCUGUUAGCUCCACUUCCCUCCAUGAUGAUGUUAACUCUCUCUGUUAGCUCCACUUCCCUCCAUGAUGAUGUUAACUCUCUCUGUUAGCUCCACUUCCCUCCAUGAUGAUGUUAACUCUCUCUGUUAGCUCCACUUCCCUCCAUGAUGAUGUUAACUCUCUCUGUUAGCUCCACUUCCCUCCAUGAUGAUGUUAACUCCACUUCCCUCCAUGAUGAUGUUAGCUCCACUUCCCUCCAUGAUGAUGUUAACUCUCUCUGUUAGCUCAACUCUGCACUUGCCUCUGCUAGUAAUACUCUGUGUUAACAUUACCACAGAAAAUAACCAUUAUAAACAGUUGUAAAAACCAACUUCUUCCAGGCAGAAUAGUUCCUGUAGAUUCAGACUCAUCACCAAUCUUUUGUUAUGUUAUGUAGGUUUCAUAACCAUGUCUGUAUAACAAUUCAAUAAUGAUGAGACGGGAGACAGGAAUCAGUUCAACCAUUUAUCUGGAACGGGAUAAUCUCAACACAUACAAACCCCCAUGAUGCUCUGCUGCACAACCCCAAUAUACAACAAUACAUCAAUAAAUUAAUAAAUGGACACUAAGCAAAACUUAGAGGAUUUAAAUGUUUAGUUGUAGAAAGUAGGGCCAUGGGACAGGGUCAGAAAGGUCAGUAUGUUUGAUACCUGGUUACAGAGGUGACAUAACAAGCAUAAGGUCCAUUAUAACACAGUGAAGUAGGGCCAUGGGACAGGGUCAGAAAGGUCAGUAUGUUUGAUACCUGGUUACAGAGGUGACAUAACAAGCAUAAGGUCCAUUAUAACACAGUGAAGUAGGGCCAUGGGACAGGGUCAGAAAGGUCAGUAUGUUUGAUACCUGGUUACAGAGGUGACAUAACAAGCAU